GGGGGAUAACGUAGCGAAAGUUACGCUAAUACCGCAUACGAUCUACGGAUGAAAGCGGGGGAUCGCAAGACCUCGCGCGAUUGGAGCGGCCGAUAUCAGAUUAGGUAGUUGGUGGGGUAAAGGCUCACCAAGCCAACGAUCUGUAGCUGGUCUGAGAGGACGACCAGCCACACUGGAACUGAGACACGGUCCAGACUCCUACGGGAGGCAGCAGUGGGGAAUUUUGGACAAUGGACGCAAGUCUGAUCCAGCCAUUCCGCGUGCAGGAUGAAGGCCCUCGGGUUGUAAACUGCUUUUGUACGGAACGAAAAGGUUUCCAUUAAUACUGGGAGCUCAUGACGGUACCGUAAGAAUAAGCACCGGCUAACUACGUGCCAGCAGCCGCGGUAAUACGUAGGGUGCAAGCGUUAAUCGGAAUUACUGGGCGUAAAGCGUGCGCAGGCGGUUAUAUAAGACAGAUGUGAAAUCCCCGGGCUCAACCUGGGAACUGCAUUUGUGACUGUAUAGCUAGAGUACGGUAGAGGGGGAUGGAAUUCCGCGUGUAGCAGUGAAAUGCGUAGAUAUGCGGAGGAACACCGAUGGCGAAGGCAAUCCCCUGGACCUGUACUGACGCUCAUGCACGAAAGCGUGGGGAGCAAACAGGAUUAGAUACCCUGGUAGUCCACGCCCUAAACGAUGUCAACUGGUUGUUGGGUCUUCACUGACUCAGUAACGAAGCUAACGCGUGAAGUGACCGCC
rnacentral:rRNA from 1 species